UCCCUGGGCGCAUCCGAUCCCACGAACAACAGCUCAAACUGCACCUACUAUCAAGAAGAAGAAGAAGAUUGUCGCCUUCAUGCAAAAUGCUCUUACCGCAGAGAAGAGAAGAACUUGCAUGUACUAUAUAGAAAAAAGUCGUCGUGCCUAAAUGAGCAACACUAAAACUGUAAUAACAACAUUCCUCAAGUGAACUAUAAGACAACGUUUACUCACGCCUGGCUCGUCCUGAUCACCGGGGGACAUCUGGCUCCUUCACCGUCUGUGGGUCACAGGAAAACGUUUUUUAAAUAACACCAAGAAAUCACCAGAGUAUCAAGUAUCUUGUAAAACUUGGAUUGUGAUACCAGAUGCUGUCUUCCAAACUCCAAAUAUAUGAAAGAACAAACCACAACCCUUAAUCUUCCCUGAUACCAUUGAUCAAGAAGCCUUCAAGACAUAUCUGUGCAGACAGCAUUUGAGUAAUAGCUGAUAUUCCUAUUAUUUUUUCUGACAGCCUUAUUUGAGUUGACAAGCUUUAUUUUAUCCUAAAGAAAAAAUACAUGAAAGUUUAUAAGAAAUAACAAUGUAAGAGGCACGUUCUUUUAAACCAAACACUGGAGUACAAACUAUCGAAACCUGUUCCUUAUUCCUUACUUGGCACAUUUUUUUGUUACUUUAAAUCAGAAAUACAGUACAAAUGUUUUAUUAUAAUAUCCUCGAACACAAGAGUAAACACUCAGAGUCGACUCAAUAUUUUGAAUUGGUGGAACUUUAAUGAACAGGGUGCAUGCAUUACAUUCAUUAAUUAAAGGACACAGGGAAUGGGACAUCAUACAACAGGGAAUAAUUUCACUCACCAGAGGGAUGAUGAUCCUCUAGUACACUGAAAUGACUGAAGGAAAUAUCCUCACCCAGUGAGGUGGACACCUCAUGAGCGCACUCCACAAACACACUCUGUGAGUGAAGUCUGGCCUCUCUCUGUCCUCGUGGGGUAUAGGGACGCAACCCCUCACGAAAACACGUGGGAAACUUUACACAUGAUCACUACGUACAAGAUAGUAAUAGGAAUCGAUCAUAGAUCUCAACAAGAGAUCAUAGAUUACAACUAACUAAACAAAUCAGCCAAAGAAAUAUAAGAAAAUUCACUUUCGCAAAC